UGUUUUUCAAGUUUUCUUUGUCCAUAAGGUUGCACGGGGUCCAGGAAGUUACACGGCCCGUGUAAUGUUUUUGGCACUAUAUUCUUCACAUUUUGGCCUCCAAAUCUCUUCCAAACUCGUCUUUGAUUUUAGAACCACAUAAAAACACAAGGAAGAAAUGACCAUAAUUGUAAAGAAAGCUCUCCUGUCCGUCUUCGAACAAAGGAACACCAGGUGGAAGACUGUUGUAGCAACCAGCAUUUUGAGGUCCCUAUCUCCCCAUUGAGGCUUUCCUUCCUUACAUGCAGCCAUCUUUAAGUCCUCCAUCAUGUACUUGUCAUAACACUGGAAUUCACCAAUUCCAGGAAAUUUCCAUCUACCAUCACCAAGAGGAUGUGCAUGAUACCUUAGUUCUCCAGAAGGACCAAGACCAACACUUAUUUCUUCAAUUACACUCCCAAUAUAUGUGUCAAAUUUGCUAACAAAACUAAGCAUGAAGUCUUCAUAACAUUGGAAGGCAGUUCGGCCAUAAAAAAAAGGAAGUUGGUCCACUCCUAGUGUAAGAUAAUCAUCAUUGGAAAACCCAUUUUUAUCUCGAUAAUAGAUAUCCUUGUUGUGACCACCAAUCUGACAAAAGGGGAAAAAUAAUUAACUUCCAUAGUUUAAGUUAAGGUACGAACUUGUCAGAAUGCCAAUAAUAACAAAUUACCCUCUAUUUUGAUUAGUUAAAAAAUAAUAUAAGAUUUUAUUAUUAUUUAAAAAAUCUUUAGCAUUAUUGUUAGUUUGAUUUUCUAUUUAAACUCAAAUUUUAUUUUAUUAAUAAUUUUUUUAAAUCAAAUUAAAAAUUAAAUCAAUCAACAUAAAUAUUAUCAAUAAUAUUAAUAUAAAUUAACAUUUCAAUCAUAUUAUAAAACCUAUUCUAAAAUCUUAUUAAAAAACCAUGUUUUUCUACAGGAAAACUGUAAUUUAGACAUUAUCACCAACUUCAAUUUAAUUGAAGUUUGGUCUCUUUGUUCUAUAUGUUUCCAUUUCAAUAUCUUCCUAUUCAGUAAAGCUUCAUCUAUAAAUGCAAAUGAUAGAAUCAAGUCUACCAGUGAAAGACUAUUGUAAUAUAGGACAUGGAUCAUUGUUGGUCCUAGAAAAAUAAACUUAGCAGAUAAGAUAGCAAGCUAACGUCCAAAUAAAUUAUAUCCUAUGCUAACAGAAAAGCAUAGAAGAGGAAAGCUAAUAAAACUGGUAUAGUUCACUACAAUAUUUUUUUUUUUCAAAGGAAAACAAUAAAGAAAUGUAAGAAACCUCUAGAAUCCACAGUGGAAAACUCAAACCCCCAUUUCCAGUGGACAGGUGUGUGUUUGAGUGAAAACACAAGGAAAUAUGCAACUUCAAGCCUGACUCAGAUAACAGUCUAAAAAGCUCUUCAUAAAGGAACCAAUUAUAUUCGAGAGGAGAAAAACGUUCAACAAUUCCCCACUAAACCUCUACUGCAAUUCCAUAGACACCUGCCAACUUGAGUGCUCUUAGAGAUAUGGUUAAGGCCUUGAUUUUUCUGAUCCUUGGACUCCCAGAAGAAUCAAUGCCAAACGUGUUCACUGGCAUCAUGACAAAUAUGGGGACCCUCUUAUGCUUUGAUGAUUCCAAUAUUGUGGCUCUUGAUUUUUCUGGAGCAUCCAUGAUAAAUUUGAAGAACAAUACGAAAUCAACAUUUUGAGACAACCAAUUAGAAACACUUGGGUAGGCAUAAAAAUAUAAAUGAACGUCUUCUUGUCUGUUUCCAUGAUUAAUUGGCCCCUGUUUAAAAACAAAGAAAUUAGGCUCAUGAAUGAGAGGAAGAAAUCAAUUUUCUCAUCUACUGGAAAAGCUUUAAAGAAUUACUUCCACCAUCUCAAGUAGUAGCACUCUUUGCCUAUCACUUUAGAAGCAUUUCUUCUAAUUUCCCUAAAAAAUAUUGAUGUGCAGUAAUCUAUAUUUUGCAUUCAAAAGCAAUAUUGUUCUGGUACAUCAGAAAAUAUCAAAAGCAAGAAAUUAAAAAUGAGCUCACGAAGAAGGCAGUGCCUUAACCAACGUUAAAUUAAACUCUUCUAUUUCUCAGUUCCACCUGAAACCAAAACUGAAACACUUAGCAAUACUAUUUAGCUAAGAAUCCAAAAACAAGUAAACAACGGGGGAAAAAAAACGAAACUGAACAACUUCCUAGCGUUGCUAUUAUGUUCCUCCUUUUCUAGGAAACCAAACAAAUAUAGAAAUGUGCGGGGAGAGAAAAUGUGAAUGACCAGACCUCAAAAUGCGGUAGCUUCCACUAAGCGAUCGGCAGCGAGGAUAGAAGAGGGGCUUUUUGAAGAGUGAUCAUCGAAACGUUUCGUAAAUUGGUUCGCGUUUUCCUCUGGUCCAGCAAGGUCGUCUCCCUGAACGCAGCAUAGCUUCUCCUAACGGUAACGGGGCACCUGCGAGCAACUCCUCCAUUGCCGGCCAUUUUCUACUAGAAUAGAUGAUCUCCUCUGCUUCUCUCUGCCAGAGAGGGAGAAUCAGAGAAACAAAGAGACCGCAUAAAACUGUGUUUUUGGAUUGAUUUGUUUGCUCGUUAACGUUCUGCAAUUUGAUAAUUCCUUAUUUUAAUU
rnacentral:misc_RNA from 1 species